GCCUCUUGACCCUCUCUCUCAAAUAACCUCCCCGAAACGCCUCUCUCUCGUGAAACCUCGAUCUCUCUUGUGAAUCUCUCAGUCCUCCUCGAAAGCUCUAUGUUUCGUGAAACCUUUCUCAGCCCUCUCUCUGUUUCGUGAAACCUCUCUCAACCCUCCUCUUCGCCAUUAAUGCACCUUUAAGCUUCUCCUGGAAACCCUAACGAUUGUGACUCUCACUCUCCAUGGAUGCGCGUUGCGCUUCCCGAACCAUGAUCAACCCGAAGGUCCGCCAGGUCGGCUUCUUCACUCCCACCCCCGCCGAGCGCUUAUCGGUUCGGACCCAAUCCGGACCUGCAGUCCCAACCUCCUCUGUUCCUCUCUCCGAAUCUCCGGCCGGCAACUCACUCUCUCCCGUCAUGAUCCCCCCUUGCGUCACCUUUUCGACACCGUCGCGAUCCGCACUGCCGCCGUGCCGGUUCCAAAAUCGGCGAUGCGGUUGAUUGAUUCCGGAGAGCAAGUGCCGUUGGGGAGUUACAACCCGUCGGAGUCGUUGUUAGGGUCCUCUCCGGUGGCCUCGUCGCCAUCGAGCAGGGUCAAGGAUGGGACUCUGGAGUUCUCUCGAGAACUCCUCGGUCCAGUGGUACCGGCGAAGCGGCUCCGGCAAGAUGGCCUCGAGUUUGCCCGGCGGAGGAUUUGAAUCCGCCGCUUUGAGAACGC
rnacentral:lncRNA from 1 species